UACCGAGGUCCCGAGCGUUGUUCGGAUUCAUUGGGCGUAAAGGGUGCGUAGGCGGUCUUCUAAGUUUGAUGUGAAAUCCCGGGGCUCAACCCUGGAAUUGCAUUGAAUACUGGAGGACUAGAGUACUGGAGAGGAAACUGGAAUUUACGGUGUAGCAGUGAAAUGCGUAGAGAUCGUAAGGAAGACCAGUGGCGAAGGCGAGUUUCUGGACAGUAACUGACGCUGAGGCACGAAGGCCAGGGGAGCAAACGGG
rnacentral:rRNA from 1 species